CUGAUUAGGACUUAGGAAUGAAGAACAUCCUCUAACAGCCAUAGAUCUAUAGAAAUGUCAUUUAUUCAUAACCAAUAGACAGAAGCUCUUUGCACACAUCCUGUCAGCAUUACUUAUGCAUACAAUAAACGCUGGGAGGGGAGAGCAAUAAGUCAGUAAUAGAGGGAGGGGUGAGCAAUACAGGCAGUAAUUUGUCACGUUAAUAUGCUAGGCUAAAGUCUAGCAUUGGACCUAAAAGAGUAAAUCCAAGUGUAACGAGAAUCUGUCUAGCAGUAAGCAACAAAUUAAAUUAAUAAGUAGGCAUUGACUUUUUGUCUCACCAUUUAGAAUUCUUUUGACAUCAGGAGUUGUGCUUUCAUCAUAUUCUGAUGUCAUAUUUACAUUGUCGUUUUCUUCAUCACUGUUGACAGUAUUGCCCUUGGAUCUAUUGACAAAUACAAAUAUUAAGUUGAAAAAGGAUAAAACAUUCAAUCUUAAAAAGUUGUGACUGUGUCGAUUUCAGAGAGUAACUUAACAAACUUGUGUAGCUGUUCUAUUGAGAGACUAUAACAGUGCAUGUCUAUCAAUUAUCUCAAAGAAUGGAACAACUCAGGCUCACACAAAGGUAACUGGAAUGGGAGAACAGCAAGUGCUGGACGAGGUAACGUAGCAGGGAACCUGGAACCUUUGCAUGGAACACACCUGAAAACAACAUCAUAACCAAUGUAGAAAGAAAAAAAAACAAAU